rnacentral:lncRNA from 1 species
UCCUCUUGGACGUCACCCCUCCCCCCUCUCACAUCUUCUUUCUCCUCAAACCUUUGCAGCCCUCACCACCCAAAACCCUAGCCGCCCCCCAUUUCUCUUUCCCCCCUCCAAGGUGCAGCCCUCCCGCGUGUUCUCCGUCGUGUGGCUGCGAUCUCAAUUGGAGUUUGGAGGGAGGAAGAAGGAAGGAGGAAGGGAAGAACCCAAGGUGAAUUCAUGUUUAAAUUUUGUUGUUUUUGUGCUGCAAUCAAUUGGAUUAUGCGUUUAUCUUUGCGAAUCGGUAGAGGUGCUGUCCAGGAAUUUUGUGAGUGGGUGGACAGCAGUAGUUCUAGGGAUUUCUGGGAAUUUUCGUGGGUUAAUUAGUAUGAAUCAGUGGGAUAAUCAUGUAGAGCUUUGUCAUACCUUUCCAACAAGUACUUAUGCGCUCGAUUCGGAGUUAUAAUUUAGAAGAUAUCAUUGUUUGAAUCCAGAUAUGUUGCUGUCCAAUAAAACAGAUUUUUCAGGUGGGUGAACAGCAGUAGUAUUAGCAGUUUCUGGGAAUUUUUAGUGAGUAAUUAGUGAUAACCAGUAUGAUAAUCAUGUAGGACUUUGUCUUAUCUUUCCAAUGAGUACUUAUGCGCUUAAUUUGGAAUUAUAUUUUAAAAGAUAUUGCUGUUUGAAUCCGGGUAUGUCGCUGUCCAAAAGAGAAAAAAACAGAUUACAGGGUUUAUCUUGUGGACUGUUUUGGGAUAAUUAGAUGUUAGAAUUUUAUUAUAAAUUGUAUACAAAACUUGUGGGGAAUUUGAUGUAGAUGCCUCUGGAGUUUUUGGUUGUCACCACUGCUAUCAUAAUUUUAAAGUUAUGAAAUUAUUAAGCAGCGCCGCUGCAGUUUGGUGGGUGCGGGGAGAAUUGUUACCCGUGGCGGGGUUUGAGAUUGUGCGUAGGUGCGGCGUCGUUUAUGAGGCUUAUUAUGUGAAAUUGGUGCACUAAGUUGUGUGUCAAAAACAGGUGGUGGACUUCCGGAUCGUAAUUAGGGAUUUGCCCAAACUUCCGGUGAAGACAAGUAAAACAGUGAUGGUUAUUUUGUCUGUCGAAUGAAGAGUCUUAUACUUGAUUAUGUUUGUGCUAUUUGUGUUCGUAUUCAUAUUUCUAAUUGAGUACCAUCGUUGGAAGAUAUUCAUGUUUUAUUGAUUACAUAUGUUGAGUUUGUGGUUUGAUCAUGUUACCCAUGUGGUUUAUUUUGUGGAAUGGGUGGAAGUAUAUGUCUACCACAUUUUGUUUGGGAAGAACUCAUGUUGUUGACUUGCAUAAUGCAUUCAUCAUCCAUUGCAUUGAAGUUUCGUCGCGAUCUUAUGGUCCGACCGUACCGGUACAAUGAGCAUCAUAUGUUGCCCGAGAAGGGGUAUGAUGCAGCUUCAUAUCCUUAGAGAUAUGAAGGCAGAAGUCAUUACUGCAUCUGUAGCCAUGUGCAUUCAUUGGAGAGAUGUGGAAUGUGUUAUGUGGAUGUGGAUAGUGUGGAUCUUUACAUUGUGAUUCAUCUUGGCAUUAAGUAAUCAGUUACUUGCUUACUUGCUGCAAAUUAAUAUUCAAGAAGGAAGUUUUGAACUACGUGGUUGUUUAAGCACGGUUGGUUUACAUUGUCCAAUUGUUGUUUGCUCUGUUUACUUGCUGAGAUGUGUCAUCUCACUCUUGCAUUGUCUGAUGCAGACACCUGAUUUCUGCUUUGGGAAAGAAGGGAUGUAGCAGCACAGCCACUACACCUUUAAUAAAGGAACCGCUGCUUAAUAAUGUUGUUAUUCAAGGAGGGUCAAGUCUAG